rnacentral:rRNA from 1 species
UACGUAGGGUGCGAGCGUUAAUCGGAAUUACUGGGCGUAAAGCGUGCGCAGGCGGUUUUGUAAGCCAGGUGUGAAAUCCCCGGGCUCAACCUGGGAAUGGCAUUUGGGACUGCAAGGCUGGAGUGCGGCAGAGGAGACUGGAAUUCCUGGUGUAGCAGUGAAAUGCGUAGAUAUCAGGAGGAAUACCGAUGGCGAAGGCAGGUC